rnacentral:rRNA from 1 species
UACGUAGGGUGCGAGCGUUGUCCGGAAUUAUUGGGCGUAAAGGGCUCGUAGGCGGUUUGUCGCGUCGGGAGUGAAAACCAUGGGCUUAACUCAUGGCUUGCUUCCGAUACGGGGCAGACUAGAGGUAUGCAGGGGGAGAACGGAAUUCCUGGUGUAGCGGUGAAAUGCGCAGAUAUCAGGAGGAACACCGGUGGCGAAGGCGGUUCUCUGGGCCUGUACUGACGCUGAGGAGCGAAAGCGUGGGGAGCGAACAGG